GACGUAGGGGGCAAGCGUUGUCCGGAAUCAUUGGGCGUAAAGCGCUCGUAGGUGGAUCGGUAAGUCUGCAAAGAAAGACCCGGGCUCAACUCGGGGAACGGUGUGGAUACUACCGAUCUUGAGGCAAUCAGAGGAUGAUGGAAUUCCCGGUGUAGCGGUGAAAUGCGUAGAUAUCGAGAGGAACACCAGUGGCGAAGGCGAGUCCCUGGACAGGUCCUGACGCUGAGGCACGAAAGCUAGGGGAGCAAACAGG
rnacentral:rRNA from 1 species